rnacentral:rRNA from 1 species
AAACCAUCUUAGUUGGGGGUGGGUGAGGCUGCGCUUUAUGGCGUAUUCGAGCCUGUCUUCGACAAGGAGGGUUAAGUCGUAACAAGGUAUCUGUAGGGGAACCUGCAGAUGGAUCACCUCCUAAGAAAAC